CUUUUUUUCACUCCUCAUCGCUGUUCAUCGUUUCUCUCGCCUCUUCUUGUUUCCGUCUGUCGGUACCAUCAUUCUAGCUGCCAUCCACCACCGUUUACGGUGCUUCAUUCAGCUGUUCAUUAACGCCUUAGUCCACACUCCACCACCGGUUGUUAUCGUUGUUGCUGCUUCGCUGGGCACGCUUGUGGGUUCUUUUUGCGGAGAUUUUAAAGAAAGAUGCCACACAGAACACGGCCUAUGACAGCUCUCUUGGUGUUUACUGGACUCAAUGUCAUCUUGGUGUCGAGUAUCACUCCGGUUUAUGAUUUUGUGUGCUUCCAUCCUUACUGGGAAAGAAGGAGAGAACACCGCCAGCAGGAAGGUGAAGCUGCUUUAACAAAGGCUUCUGCAUGAACCCAGAA
rnacentral:misc_RNA from 1 species